UACAAUAAGGAAAUGCCUUAGCUGUAGACAUCAUUUAUGGAACCUUAUAAAUAGAGCUCACAUUCAAAGGAUUUGCAAGAGAAGAAUUGUAUGAUACAUUUACACCUGCAGGUACAGCAAGCACCUCUAACUGUUUCUAUGACAGAUUUUCAGCUUGUGCUCCUGUCUCUAAGUUACCUGCCAGAGGACACUGGGAAAAGUGUCAGCACCGUGAGAAGUACAGAUGAAAACACUGCCUAUGCAGUGGUGCAGGAGAUGAUAAAUCACAUGCCAAGCUCACCCCUGAACUGCCUCAGGAAGGGAAGCAAGAAAAUGUGUAACAAUGAAUGAAGAAAAGGAACUCUGGCAGCGAAAGGAGGCUUGGCAUAUCGCUCAGUGGUAGACCACAUCUAGCACACAUGAGGUCGUGGGUUCAAUCCCUAGAACAGUAAACACAGAAACCAAAAAAGACAGGGGACUGGAGUGACACUUUUGGAUUUUUGGUUUCAUUACAGAACACA
rnacentral:lncRNA from 1 species